rnacentral:rRNA from 1 species
UACGUAGGGUGCGAGCGUUAAUCGGAAUUACUGGGCGUAAAGCGUGCGCAGGCGGCUUCGCAAGUCAGACGUGAAAUCCCCGGGCUUAACCUGGGAAUGGCGUUUGAAACUACGGAGCUGGAGUAUGGCAGAGGGGGGUGGAAUUCCACGUGUAGCGGUGAAAUGCGUAGAUAUGUGGAGGAACACCGAUGGCGAAGGCAGCCCCCUGGGCCAAUACUGACGCUCAUGCACGAAAGCGUGGGGAGC